rnacentral:misc_RNA from 1 species
UCCAAUGUAUUUCUGCGACCUAGGCAACCUUGACGCAGCAAAAUUCUUGAAGUUACUCACUUUCCCUGAUAUCUUCUCAAUUCCGCUAACUAGCAUAUGCCUCGAACUUUCAAACUCCGAUUGCAAUCCAUCCCUACCUUUCACCGCCUCCUCAAAUUGCUUCGCAAUCUCAUCUCUCUGUUUCACAGACUCGUCCUUCUCUUUCAAAGCCUCUUCCUUCUCGCGCACAGC